rnacentral:lncRNA from 14 species
CUCAGCCUUCUUCAAGGAGAAAUGGAUGGUUCAUGUUGUUCAGCUUCUCUUCUUCCCCAACACUCAGUGAAAUCAGCUUCAACUUAUUUACUUAACUGUCAAAUUGUAUGAAGUUUUCCAUGAAGCAGAUAACUUAUCAGGUGUUCCCCACACAGUAUUUCUUCA